UCAGAAUGUUUGACACAAACCUCUUUCUCUUUAGGCAGCUGGAUGGGAAUCAUCAUUGCUUCAUGGCACAAUGGCGUACAAAGAUGUUAACUCCAAGCCUUUCAAUUUCAGAAGUCCUGGUCCAGAUGUUGCUGUGAAUGCCAUUGUUUCAUUCCUUUUUAUGGCUGGGUAGUAUGGAACACUAGCCUUAAAGUGCAAAGGAAAACAACUUUCAACCUGGAAUUCUGUACCCAGCUAACCAACCAUUAAGGGGUCGAAAGAAGAACCCCAGCCAGACGGGCAGCAGUGUGGAAAAUAUGGAUUGAAAUGGCAUUAGAAAGAGGUCAAAGAAGGUGUAUUUUGGGAGAAUGUAAAAAAAUGAAGUCUGGUAGAAGGAUUUGGGGAAGAACUGACAUGACUAUAUAAUAUGGAGCGUGCAGAGUUUUAUGGCCUUGGACUUUGUCCCUUCAUAUUUGACAGCGAUGUUGACCAUGAUCACUGAUACAAGCAAACCCUUAACAUCUCCUGAUAUUGAAGCAAAUCCUAUCAGCAGGAGAAAGGAAAUGAGUCACUGUGGAGGUGUCCAUUAACUUUUAUAGCCAGUUUGAAAAAACUCUUGUCUUGAGAGCAGCAGGAUUCAUCCCCACUCACUCACCCCACAGUGGGAGACACGUGGCAUGGAACUAACUCUCCUUCUCCACCACUUCAUGAACAACAUAUUAUCUAUUUUCAUGAUAAGCUCUCCAGCUAGAAAGCAUCAGUUGAUUUGCCCAAGAGGCACAAUGGAAGUUCCACUACCAAGAUGUAAAAUAAAAAGCUUUCAUCUCUUAAGGUUUUCAACUCAAACUUAAUUUCCUUCAUGAAUCCUGUCCUAAACCAGCCCCCUCCUCUAUAAUAUUUCCCACAGUGGUGGAAAUUAUUUGCUUAUGGGCCUAAUGUCCUCAAUAAGGUAUCUUUUCUCAAGAACAGAGAUGUGACUUUUCAUAUUUGUCUAUAUGUCUGACACUUCAGUUGUGUUUAACAAGUGCUCACUAGACAAAUCUCAGUGUAUUGAAAUCCCCAGGAUAGCACUUGACACAUAAUAGGCCCACAAUACAUGUUAGUUUCUUUACUCUACAUUUUCUUCUAAAGAUUUUCACAGACUAGGUUGAGCUUUUUAUCUCAAUAAUUUAUAUACAUUUUACAGAUGCAUAUGUAGAGGUGUAAAAGGCUAUUAUAAUAGCAGGCACUAUAAUUCAUUUUUAGGGGAAUUGUCUUUGAUAGGGAAAAUACCUUGGUAAGUAAAUUGGGGUGGAAAGUGAGACCCUAAGAAUAUUGAUUAGGAAAAUGCAAGGCAGUAAAACGUACUUAAAUUGUUCUGCUUUUUAGCAAUAAACUUGAAAUUUAAUGGAGGGGAGCAGGAAAAAAGGUGAAGAGAGGGAGAGAAAGGAGACAGCAGAGUAUUAAAGCACUGCAAUGUGUUCCAAAGGGCUUUUAAAAACAUGUCUGUCUAAUAUUAAACUAAAUUUUUGUUUACUCUUUUGUAAAUUGUAAGCGUUCUAAAUUCUACUAUAUUCACAGAGGCCUUGUAAGAGUGGAGAUUUUGGGUUGCUUUGCUCUUAUUUUUCCAUUAGAAUUUCAAAGUGUUGUGUUUAUUAAAAAGCACAGUAUUAUAUGUAGACCACAAUUUCAUUUUUGUAAAAAAAUAAGCUGUAUAAGUAUUCACGGGUGUAUUAAUUUGUAUGCAUAGAAAAAUAUGCAAAUCACACUGAUCUGUGAUUAUUCUUGGGGAAUGAGAUGGGACUGGAAAAAGAGAAGAACUUUGACUUUUUAUGUAAUUUUGUGUUGUUUGAAAAUGGUC